rnacentral:rRNA from 1 species
AUUGAACGCUGGCGGCAGGCCUAACACAUGCAAGUCGAACGAGUGGCGGACGGGUGAGUAAUGUCUGGGAAACUGCCCGAUGGAGGGGGAUAACUACUGGAAACGGUAGCUAAUACCGCAUACCAUCGGAUGUGCCCGGAUGGGAUUAGCUAGUAGGUGGGGUAACGGAUCACCAAGGCGACGAUCCGUAGCUGGUCGGAGAGGAUGACCAGGCACACGGGAACUGAGACACGGUCCAGACGCCUACGGGAGGCAGCAGUGGGGAAUAUUGCACAAUGGGCGAAAGCCUGAUACAGCCAUGCCGCGUGUAUGAAGAAGGCCUUCGGGUUGUAAAGUACUUUCAGCGGGGAGGCGUUACCCGCAGAAGAAGCACCGGCUAACUCCGUGCCAGCAGCCGCGGUAAUUC